AUUAGAUGAUGAAAGAUAAAUUUAUCUUUAAAAUCUAAUUAUAUGGCAACACAAGGUGUUGAUGUUUUAUUUCCCAGAAUAUUUGUACCGAUUUCAUAUAAUGAUAUAGAGUAUUUUUACAUGGUUUAAUGUUAUGUCUUUCUUAAACAGCAUUAAUAAGUCCAUCAAUGUUAAUCACUAAAAGAAAUAUUUGAUAUAAUUUCACUCUACUGUAUACAGUUUGUUUCAAAUUUUUUGGACCGCUUGAACACCGCAAAAAAAAAAAAUGCUAAGAAUCCUCUGUGAAUUUUCGCUAGGAAUCAACAGUGAUUUUUUGCUACGGUUUCGCUACCAAUCCACCGUGUUUUUCGCCAGGAAUCCACUGUGUUUCGUCAUGAUUUCCCACUAGAAAUUUCCAAUUUAAAUUAACUGAACCUACGAGUAAUGAAGUAAUGUGUAAAAGCCCAUUGUAAAUAAUUCAAAAUUUGGAUAUGAUAGCAGGCAAUGAGUAAUGGAUUACAUCUUCUUGCCACGAUUUAUAAGUUAUAGAUGAAGACCAAAUGAUAUGUUUAAGAAAUUGUAAGUUGUUCACUGUUCGCAUACAUGUAAAGCCCCCCCCCCCACACACACACCUAAUCCUAACUGAUAUAGAUUACCAGUGAAUUAAUUAACAAAUUAUUGCGUCCGUAUUUAAAGCAGCUCGUACAUUUUUCCUGUGCAUUUUUUUCGCGACAGCAUUACUAUUUUACGUGGUUUCAAAUAGAUUGUAGAUUACAUUAGUUUGACCCUCGCUCAAAAUUAAUAUACAUAUAUUCAACUUAAAUAAAGUACAUAUUCCUUCAACACGCUAGAAUCGGGAAGAUGUUGGCACGCUAGCAAUUCGCUAGAGAUUUGCAAAGAAUCCCCUGCGAAUCGCUGAACUUUUCCAUCAUGUUCAGUCUCAAACUAUAGGGAUGUUCUGUACAAUAGGCUUGUUCAUAAUAGAUUGAGACUUAUCAGUUACCAUAACAGCAUGUGCUUUAUACUUUUUUCACAAUAGGUUGUGUAUUCAGUUCGUUUUAUCAACAUAUUUUCUAGGAGAAAGUGAUAAUGCUUCAUUAUGGUAAUGGUUGGUUGGAAAGUGAUAAUGCCUCUUUAAGUGAAUGUUAACAGAAGUGAUACUUAUGGUGAUAGUCAACAAAAAUGAUACUACCUGGUGAUACUGAACAAAGGUGAUAUUUCAUGCAUACAGUUAACAAGAGUGAUAGUCAACUAAAAUAGUGAUAGUCAACAAAAAUAAUACUUCAUGGUGUGAUACCUGAUGGAACAAGUGUAAUACUUUAUGGUUAAUACAUAAAGGUAAAAAGAGUAUUGUUUUAUGGUGAUACCAUGCUUUAUGUAUAACAAGCCCAUUUAAAAAUGUUCGUAACUUCUAUUUUCAUGAUUUAUGAAGCAAAUUCUCAAAAUAUAUAAAAAGCAAUAAAUUAGAACUUUUCUAUAAUUAAGACAUAUCAUAUAGCAGUAGCACAGAAACAGAUUUUCGAAAGUACAGCAUAUGUACAUGUAUAAUUAUUAAAUUGAUUUUCAAUUCGAUUUGUUUAUGAAAAUUAAUCCAGCUAUAUCCCAUAUUUAUUGUAAUGGUUGAUAUGGCUGUGAUACUUCCCUUAGAGUAGUAUUCAACAUAAUGAAACAAAAUCUUUCAUGGUAAUUAUUUUGCUAUAUUUAUUACUGAUAUCAAAGAAAAGUUCCUAUUUUAUUGUUGAUGGGGAGUAUGUCAAUAAUGGGACAUAAAGAAUAAAUGUGAUAAAUAGGAUAUAUAGGAAUAGAUGAUAGUAAUGGUAUAUGUUGGAAACAGAGUAAUGGGAUAUAUAUGGAAAAUGGGUGUUAUUGAUUUUGGAAAACUUAGAAUAAUGAGAAAUAUAGAAUUAGUAGAAUAUAGGAACACGAGUAGAAAUAUAGGAGUAGGAAAAUAGUAGUUAUAGUAACAAUCAGGUAUAUAUUAGUAUGCAAAAUGAAGUAUCACCUAUCAGUCAUCAUUAAGGUUAAUUAUAAGGUAUCACUGUUCUGAGUAUAAGAGUAUGGUACAUGUUAAAUUUGUUGUAUUGUUCAUCAUAUUAUAAUAUUAAUAUGUAAUAUAUGUUGUAAAUGGACUUGUAUUGAAUUUGAAUUCAAUAAUCAGAUAUAGUGUUAUUGAUAGAAUGUGGUAUAAAUUAAUGCCACCUCCAUGUUUAUUAUGAAUUCUGCAUUUAAAUUGCAGCCCUGAAAAUAAUUGCUAUAAUGUAUAAUUUAUGAUUUUAUAAUCCUAUUAUCAGGAAUACCAGAAAUCUAGACAAGGACAGUAAUCUAAAGAUCAUAUCAAACAACAUGGAUAGAAUUUGUUGUCAUCUAUGAAUAGUUGCAUUUAGGAAUUUGAAUGAGCCCAACUCCAACUCCCACCCCAAACAUAAUGUGUACCUUGCUUGUAACACAACCUAUUUACAUUUAUCUUACAAAGAGGUAAUCCAAGUAAAUAUGGUUUACCUGUUAUGCAAAGGUAGGCAACUGGGCAUGUUAAACCUUAUGGGUAUCUACUUAAUGGAACAUGGCUGUUAAUGUUAGAUAAAUUGUUAUAGAUACUGUUUGUAAAUCAUUGACAGACUGUGUUAAAGUUAUAAUCCUAAGGCUUUCUGUUAUCUUUUAUAUUAAUAAACAUAUCCCAGAAUAGAGGUCUCUAAUUGUCUAUAAAAGUUAAAUACAUAUGAAAUAUAUGACUUGCCAAUCUUUAUAUGUAUAUUAGAUGUUAUUUGUUUACCAUUAUAUACUGUUUAUUUUUUAUGCAUAGUUUUAAAAUGCUUGAGUAGAAUAAUAGUAUGGAUAUUAUAAAUGUCUCUUGUAUCUCUUCCCAUCUUCCAAUAGCCUUGCUGGAGCUGAACGGAAGGAUGUUAAACCCCAUUUCAAUUCUAUUGAUUCACAUUAUGGUCGUCAGUGUGUGUUUGUACAUGUAGCAUUCCAAACUUAAAAUAUGAUUAUUACACAGGUCACAAAAAUAUUUAUGCCGAGUGAAAUAUUUUAGAUAAGGGUAGUCUAUGUUGAUAUAUAUUUAUUAAAACAAUGAUAAUUCUGUUUGUCAUAAUAAUAAAUUAUCUUAGCAAGAUUAGCAACAUCCCUCUAUUUAUAUAACCUAAUUUUAAAUAUUUUUCUCAUCAAUGCAUGUACAACUUGCAUGAGAAUAUUUUAUUGUCUUAGCCUUGUCAAGUUACAUACAUUUUAUUUAUUAAAGCUAAGGUAAUAAUGUAUCAGUUCUAUUAUAGUGAAGUAAGAAAUUAUUCCUAACAGUCUUUUGAAAAAUUAAAAAUGUCCAAAUGUUUUAACAAAAUUAUUUUAACAUACCACAUUUUUGGCACUCACAAUGAAUUUCAACUGCAAACAUGUGUUAAUUAAUUUGGUUUAUUUUUCAUUGAAUGUUAAGCUGCUUUUAAAUCAGUAAAUGAUUUAGUCCUUAAAAGUCCCAAACCACUAGAAUUCCACUAUCUCUUUACAUCUUAUAGUUACUACUUAUUUUAUUAGUAUUUAUUGCUUGAUAAUAUCUGUUUGUUAUAUUUAUCAAAUAUUUUACCUACAAGCUUCAAGCUUAUUAUAUAUUAUGUUAUAAUUAUUUAUUUGAUCUCUUGUUAUAUUCCUGCAGGUUUCAGGGCUGUAUCGUAUCUCAUCAUGGUCGCUAUGGUUUAUCAUCUAUGGAAUCUUUAUUCCAUUGAUCAUAGAUUCUAGACUUUCUCCUGGAAAUCAAUAGUAUAAAGAUAUAAUACCAUGUGUUUAUGUCUGGUAACUAUUCACUAAAAAUGUCUCCUUUAUUUCACAAGUAUCAUAUUUACAGGGAGUGAAUCAGUAAUCAUUUUAUUACUUCAUUGUUAUAUGCCCACAUAUUAUGUGGAUGUAUAUUGUCGCCUGUAUCCAGUGGUAUGUUGUCCGUCCACAAUUUCUUGUGAAUGCAAUAUAGAAAAGAGUGCAAAAUUUAUGUUUUAAAAACAUUAUUAAUUUUGGCAUAUAUUUAGAACCCCAUUGAUGGAAUUGUUAUAACAUGGUUAUAUAGCUAUCAAUGUGACUUCGCUGCUAGUGGGCAAGCCCCUGGUAAUGUUUUAUAAGUAACACAGAUGACUUUACUAUUGGGUGGUGCAAUGUUUUAGAUAUCUCGGUUUUUUUUUGUAGUCAGUUUUUCUUACAUUCCACAUUUCAUGCUAUAUUGUUAUUUUGCUGUUUUCCUUUUAUUUUAUUGCUAUUUUUAUCUCUUUAGUUAAUAAAAUAGAUGUCAAUAUUU